rnacentral:rRNA from 1 species
GACGAACCGUGCGAACGUUGUUCGGAAUCACUGGGCUUAAAGGGCGCGUAGGCGGCUCCGCAAGUCGGGGGUGAAAUCUUUCGGCUUAACCGGAAAAGUGCCUCUGAUACUGCGGAGCUCGAGGGAGGUAGGGGCGGACGGAACUUCCGGUGGAGCGGUGAAAUGCGUUGAUAUCGGAAGGAACGCCGGUGGCGAAAGCGGUCCGCUGGCCCUCUACUGACGCUGAGGAGCGAAAGUGUGGGGAGCGAACAGG